GAGUGAAGGAAGCAGAGUAUUGAGCAUAGAAAUCAAAUCGGGUCUCUAGACCUGCCCUCUCUGGUGCCCACCGGCUUUGAUUUGGGGGCAAGGUACCAAGGCAUAACA